UCUUUGUUUUUGAGAGAUUGGACCGACUCAUGUUAGUACCUUGUCAAAAUCACCAAGCCUAACUACAAGCCACACGUGAAACCCCACACCACACACAACCCACAAAGAACUCUCCUAAUUUACCCUCCCUAAUUGACCUCUGGUCACACUCACAGAGACCCAUUUCUCUAUUUUCUGUUACCACCAUGUGUUUGAUGAUGUUUGAUGACACGAGGUUCCGUGGUUCCUAUGGAGAAGGAGAUACUUUUAUCAGACAAACCGAAACGGUGGUUGGUGAUGAUUAUAGUGAUGAAGAAAUAGAUGUAGAUGAGCUUGAGAGAAGGAUGUGGAGGGACAAAAUGCGUCUGAAACGAUUGAAAGAACAAACCAAUGCUGAGGAAGGGAUUGAUGCUGCAAAGGAGAGGCAGUUUCAAGAACAGGCAAGGAUGAAAAAGAUGUCCAGAGCUCAAGAACAGGCAAUGAGAAAAAAGAUGUCAAGAGCUCAAGAUGGAGUAUUCAAGUGCAAACCAAGGCUAAUGAAGAAAUUUGUGAUACUACAAUAUUAAAUUAAGUUAUAAGAUGCUAAUAACAGAGUUUGUCAAAUAAACAUGUAUUCUGAAGUAUAUUAUAAGUAGAUUUAAUUAGUAUAAGUAUAUGUAUAUGUGAGUACAUAUGUAUAAAUAUAAUGUAUUCACAUCUAUAAUUAAUAAAUAGUGAGGGGAUAAGUUUCAAUCA